AACCUAAUUAUGGAUGCACUCACAAGCCACAGAGGAAGCUGCGAAGCUACCGGAUGACAGGACAACUUUUGUGACAUCCGGCAAGACUCUACAGAUAAGCGGCUUAUCCGCCUUUAUCGAUGGACUCACGGUAAAUAAUCCAUCAGAACAUUCCUGGAAGGAUCAAACUGGUCACGCUCCAAGAAGUGGGAGCAGCAGCAGUCCCCUGGCACAUUUUGUCGUCUGAUUCCCGGCGGUCCUGUUCUUCGCCGUCUCUCAACAGCACUUUGACUGCAUGGACUUCCCUUAGCUGGAUGCAUGCCACCAACUCAGACAUCAGCCCAUUUUAUUAAGAAACUGGCCCGCUUUUGCUUGAUGGAUGAUAUUUCUUCCUCCUUAAUUGUGAAGAUCCACGCCUUUGACUUUAUGUCAGACAUUUUGGGGCUUAUCGAACAUAAAGGUCAGCUUUAAGUACGUUUAUUACUGGGGUUGUUGUUGGUGCAGUGGUGUAGAAAAUGGUGUAAAACAACUCUUUUCUGUCUGAAACCCUGUAUGUACACAAAGGUUAAAGCAUGUGAGAAUAUGUUUUCAUUGCAAUAUAGUGGAUCUGGUGCAUUUAGACAAGGUCCAUGCUGUCAAAUAAAUCUUUACAUUGCGUAACAAGUUUAUAUAUUUUUGAUAAUGUAGGAGUUUUCACUCGCUGGCCACAACAUAGGUAAAGUAUAGGUAUUCGGUACACCUGCACAAUUUAAUCAGUAGCCUAUCUACAAAUUCUGCCUUUACAAAAAUCAAAAGUUGUGUACUUUUCGUUUUAGUUUGGUAUGUUCAGCAUUACACUCAAUUUUGUAUGUUGCUA